AACAAAAUGGGUGAACUGCACCUUGAUAAAUCAUUUGGUGAAGCUCCUUGGAGGUGUUUUUGUCUUAGCUCUGCUGGCUGGUAAUUCCCAAGAAGCUGCUUUGGUGGGACUGAGCUGUAGGGUGUCCUGCACCGCUGUGGUGCUGGAGCUUGGUGAGAUGCCAGGCUCUUAGUCUUGGUUCUGGGACCAGUUGCUGGCUUAAGGUGAGGAGCAAGGCUCAGGUGAGUGGGUUUGUCUUGGGACAGCUGGGACCAGCGCACCAAGGAGACGGGAGCUGGAGCGACCUGGUGGCUUUGCCUUUGGUGAGGGUGAUGGGUCUCAUUGGGGGACACAGGACAAAAUGUUGCCUGUUGAUGCUUCAAUGCUUUGGCAUUGGCAUUUUGGGUUUUCUUCUUGGAGAACGUGCCGUUUGGGGAAACGGGGCCCCAACCGUGUGUUUUUAAGGGCUCCCAGCUGUACAGCAAAAUCCAAUGUCAUGUUUGCGUCGCGCUUCGAGGUAUUUACGUGACAUGUUGGCAAAACAUGGAUCAAAAUGUUCGUGCUAUGUUUGGCUUUUAUUUAAGUGCAAAAAGAUGUGAUGGUUCCCAGGAGCAGCAAGAACGGUCUGCGGAAAGGACAGCAGGGUAAACGAGAGCGUGGAACUCAAUGGUGGCUCCUGGCUGCGUGAUUUAGCUUCUGAUAGCACCAGGAACCUGGGUGCUUUUCUACUGCAGCAAAUGACAAAGUUAUCUCCCUAAAGGAUAAAAAAUAUUCUAAAAAAUUAGAAUAAAUCUCCACUAACUAAACCCUUUAGCAGAAGUAAAAUAAUCUGGGUAAAACUGGAAUAACCUGGCAGUAAUAUGAAGGCUUCCAGUAUCUACAUGGCAACAUGAUGCUUAACUUAUGUGUCUUUUUUUUUCCCCUUAAUAUGCUGGUUUUGUUUAAUUGUGGGGAAACAAGCACAGAUGUGAACCCCCCCAGUCUGAGUACACAGAGCUUGUUGUGCCCUUUAAUGGUCUGAAAACCUUGUUGUUUGUUAAUUAAAUACAACUGGCCCAACAGAUGUGAUUGAACGAGCAGAGGGGCUGCUGCUUAGUGACUUGGGGGCAUAGAGCUUGUAUGGAAAGAGGUUUAUCAUUGGGCCCUUUUACUCCAUAUUAGCAAGAUCCUUGUUGAAUCCCAGUCUAAUUGUCCUGCAGGGUGAUGAUUUUGAUGGAGCGAGUGAGUGUCCACCUGGCUGGAAGGAAAUGGGGAGUGACAAGAGGACAGAGCAAAUAUCCCCUCGCUUCUGGGCAUCAGCACAGCAUCUAUUUCUCUUUAUUCCUUUUUUUUUUUUAAAGAGAAGGCAGGGACAUUUGCUACUUGCAUGGCAGUCUUGAUUUAUGAUACGUUGUUAUAUAUUUUUUAAUAGCUAUUUUUUUAUUGUUACAAUUAUUUUUCAAUCCUGGCAGUGUACAGUUUAAGGACCCUCCCUGCAGCUUUUUCAGCCUUUGCAGUUUCGUGCUAUUCUCAAUGUUUCUCCAAACUGAAGCAACUCCCAGGCUAAUGCUGGGGGGGUGGAUUUUUGGGUGGGUUUUCCACCUUCCUGACAGCAGAUGGGAUCAGGAUGCUGAGCUUAAGGUGUCCCACUGGCUUUUGGGGGUUAUCCCCCACAUAAUUCCCCAUUCCCAGGCUGGCCUCAUGGUUUGCAGCUCUCCUGGGUCAGUGUGAGCUUUGAUCCCCUCCUGUUUUUCAGCAUCGAGAGCCAAAAACAUAUUCUCCACCUCUUUCUGAGCAGCUUCCAGCGGCGCAGAGGGAGAUUUGGGGCUGUUUCUGUUGGAAUCCCACCAGGACACCUGGCUCUCGCACACACCCUCUGGCGCAAAGCUCCAGCCUGGGAUUUGUCCGGCCAAAGGGUCCAGCCCAUCCUGUUAAGCCGGGCCUGGGAGGUUGAGCUCGGAGCGAUUGGGCAGUGAUUUCCCUGCCCAUGACCUGCAGGCGGAAGCAUUUUUUGCAGUGGAGUAAGAGCCUGUACGGAGCACAGCUGCUGAAAAAGUAAUGUAUUUUGGCCAGGGGAAUUGCGAUUCCCAAGCAGAGAUUGCCAAAAUAAAGGAAAAUUGGGCCGUUU